AAAUCAUGUGGCUGGGGCUCUGCAGCUUGAGAGGAAGCAUGCAGCAAGCAGGAAGCAUGGAGUGCACCUUCAUGUGCAGAAGAAGAUUCCCAAAGAAAGUGACUUCUCAGAAGCUGUUUGGAAAUAAGGAGCUCAGCAGAGGAGGGAGAGUGCACAUAUGAAGAUGAAAGAGUGGUGCAACAGCAAGAGUUCUCUGGCUCAUGGUGGGCAUCUACCGUGCAUAACCCUUUUCUGUGGAGCUGUCAAAGAAGGAACUCACAGGAGCUGAAAUCAAGCCUUUGGUAACAGUGUUUGGUACAGUAACAUCUAAUCCUCCUGCAGUAAAUGUUGUGCAAUUGUAUAGGGUGAGACAAAACCUUUCUUUCUGUGCCAACAUUUGAGUUAAUAAUCUUCAAAGUAAUGCUAAGUAGCUGUUGUGAAAAAGGUUUUGAUUUUCUUGGUUAUCAUUCUGAUGUAAAAUUUUGAAGUUUGAAAUAUUAGCAACUUCUGCCUGUUGGACUGAGAAUGCCUUAUGACAGGCUCUUAAGUUUGGUUUGGGGUCAUUUUGAAAAAAAAAUUUUGUGGUUCUCCAAGUACAGAUUCUGCUGAUAUACAUGUCAGCAAGGGUGUAAUCUCUGAAAUUAGGGCUUCAUGAUUAAGUCACCUGUUUGUAAAAAUACUGGUGUUUAAUUGUUUUUAUGCAUUUAAAAACAAUACAAAGACAAGCAUUUCUAGUAGUUGAGAAGUAAAAGGUGGAGCUAAUAAUAAAUGCUGUAAUGUAAAAUGUACGUUGAACUUU
rnacentral:lncRNA from 1 species